rnacentral:rRNA from 1 species
GACGAACGCUGGCGGCGUGCCUAAUACAUGCAAGUGGGACGCAAGGAAACACACUGUGCUUGCACACCGUGUUUUCUUGAGUCGCGAACGGGUGAGUAACGCGUAGGUAACCUGCCUAUUAGCGGGGGAUAACUAUUGGAAACGAUAGCUAAUACCGCAUAAUAUUAAUUAUUGCAUGAUAAUUGAUUGAAAGAUGCAAGCGCAUCACUAGUAGAUGGACCUGCGUUGUAUUAGCUAGUUGGUAAGGUAAGAGCUUACCAAGGCGACGAUACAUAGCCGACCUGAGAGGGUGAUCGGCCACACUGGGACUGAGACACGGCCCAGACUCCUACGGGAGGCAGCAGUAGGGAAUCUUCGGCAAUGGACGAAAGUCUGACCGAGCAACGCCGCGUGAGUGAAGAAGGUUUUCGGAUCGUAAAGCUCUGUUGUAAGUCAAGAACGUGUGUGAGAGUGGAAAGUUCACACAGUGACGGUAGCUUACCAGAAAGAGACGGCUAACUACGUG